CAGUAGCCGCGGGAAUACGUAGGUGGCGAGCGUUGUCCGGAAUUAUUGGGCGUAGAGGGAGCGCAGGCGGACAUAUAAGUCCAUCUUAAAAGUGCGGGGCUCAACCCCGUGAGGGGAUGGAAACUGUAUGCCUUGAGUGCAGGAGAGGAAAGCGGAAUUCCCAGUGUAGCGGUGAAAUGCGUAGAUAUUGGGAGGAACACCAGUGGCGAAGGCGGCUUUCUGGACUGCAACUGACGCUGAGGCUCGAAAGCCAGGGGAGCGAACGGGAUUAGAUACCCCAGUAGUCCCUGUCCUUAUACAC
rnacentral:rRNA from 1 species